rnacentral:lncRNA from 1 species
CAGAGCUUCUCCUCCCUUUGCUUUGGGGAAACUUGCCCGUGGUUCACCAUGGUUGCAGGCCCUGAAUUGCAAUUCUUUGCUGAUCUAGAACAAACCCAUUUUUGCUGGAGAAAUAACUAGCUGUUUAUUUGCUUAAGGUCACCAUUUUGGUGGCCCAUACAGGGAUACAGAGGAAACCCCUGAGGACUCCGAGGCUGCUGAGGAAACAGGUGGGGUGCUCACAGAGCCCGUUGAGCUCGCUGCUUUUCUCCGGACCCUGGAGUUUGAGAGAUCUGGACUAUCUACCAGGAUUAGCAGAUCGAGCUUCAUGAUUGGAACACGACACCAGGAAGAGAAAGACGGUGGAGCCUCCAGGGGAGGCCCUGCUGCAGGCACUGUGGCCUGCGGGGGCUGAAGGCAAGUCAUGGCUUCCUCACCUUCAUUUCCUGACCUGGACUCACGUCAACCCCUGCAGCCUUCAUUCUUGGACUUGUACACAAACUCUUUCUUGCAUUAACCCCUGCUCGGUGUCGACUUCUUGUCUUGCUGCUGAGCUGACCUGGGGUUUUGCCCUGGCUGCUCCUAACUCUCCUUUUUACUUUGUUGACUAAGUUUUAGAUCAAGCCUUUAUCUCUACCAGCCUCCAAAACUAGCCUGUUUCUAGUUUGGGUUUCACUCACUUCCUGCCUGUCCUGUGAUAUUCUCGUUGCCAGAAUUAGAGAGAGUCUCCAUUUUUCUCUGUACUGAUAGCUUUUUCUUCUCAUGUCAUGGAAGGUAGUGGUAGGAGGGGAUAUUGGAGGAAAACACUCUGUUGUAGUUUCCUGGACUCAUUCUCCUUAGAACAAACCUCUUAGAUGAGCUUUAGUUGCUGGGAGAAUUGCCUUUCUUACCCCAUGAAGGUAUCACAAGUCUGCUAUACUUAUGUUUAAUUACAAAUGAGUGUUCAAUGGCUCUACUGUGAAAUGAACGAAGGUUAGAGGCAAGUCAAGUCAAGGAAUUCUAAAGGAAUACAUGAAUAAAACAAUGAAAAAACACUUUGUACUAAGCAUAAGAGCCUGGUGUCAGAACUCGAAACCCUGGGUCCUGAACCUGGCUCU